CUGAGAGGGUGAACGGCCACAUUGGACUGAGACACGGCCCAAACUCCUACGGGAGGCAGCAGUGGGGAAUAUUGCACAAUGGGGGAAACCCUGAUGCAGCGACGCCGCGUGAGCGAAGAAGUAUUUCGGUAUGUAAAGCUCUAUCAGCAGGGAAGAAAAUGACGGUACCUGACUAAGAAGCCCGGCUAACUACGUGCCAGCAGC
rnacentral:rRNA from 1 species